rnacentral:tRNA from 1 species
AACGUGUUAUCUUAAUGGUCAAAGUAUUGUGCUACGGACACAAUGUAUGCAAGUUCAACUCUUGUGCACGUUU